CCGCGUGUGUVAAGAAGGCCCUAGGGUUGUAAAGCACUUUAAGCAGGAAAGAAAAGCGCCGGGUUAAUAACCCGAGCGUAUUGACGGUACCUGCAGAAUAAGCACCGGCUAACUUCGUGCCAGCAGCCGCGGUAAUACGAAGGGUGCAAGCGUUAAUCGGAAUUACUGGGCGUAAAGCGAGUGUAGGCGGUUUCGUGUGUCGGAUGUGAAAGCCCUGGGCUCAACCUGGGAAUUGCAUUCGAAACUGCGGAACUAGAAUAUGGUAGAGGAAGACGGAAUUCCACGUGUAGCGGUGAAAUGCGUAGAUAUGUGGAGGAACACCAAUGGCGAAGGCAGUCUUCUGGGCCAAUAUUGACGCUGAGGCUCGAAAGCGAGGGUAGCAAACAGGAUUAGAUACCCUGGUAGUCCACGCCGUAAACGAUGAGAACUAGACGUUGGUUGACAUAGUCGAUCAGUGUCGCAGCUAACGCGUUAAGUUCUCCGCCUGGGGAGUACGGUCGCAAGCUA
rnacentral:rRNA from 1 species